GUCCCGAGGAAGGGGCUCAGAUAGAUGGAGAUAAGAGAAAGAGCAUUAGCUAGGAUUCAUCAAGGAACCAUCAAGAAGUGAAAAAGCAGUGGAUUUGAAGCCAAGGACUGGGUCCAACUGCUAUUUUGUAUCUACUUGCCUAAAACCUACAGACCAGUGCUCCCCAUCAAACAAAGGAAAGACUGUAUUUGUCUCAUAAGGAUGUGAUGCUUCAUCUAAACCUAAGUGCCAAGUAAUGAGUGACAUACUGUAUAUUUAUGAUGUUUCAAGGCAAUCAUCAGCUCACCGAAGUCAAAGCUGGGCCCUAGGGAGAGGAACGCACUGUAGCCAGCAGCUCUUGGGUGCCCUGCCUCACUGUCUUCAGCUAAGGACCAUGGUGCCUGUCUCCACCAGCUCCAUUGCUGGCUCCCCUGUUCACAUUUCCAAUCCCCAACUCAAGUCACUGUCAAAGCUUAGCACUCCAGCUGCAGAGUAAUAACUUCACUUGAGAAAAACCAGGACACUGUUGAGUACCAAGUCCCCUGAUGCCGCCAACGCAGGUGUGUCCUACUCACUGCCCAGGGAGACACUCUUCUCUUUAGAAUUUUGUUUUCUAGCCCACCCUAAUUCUGAUGCAGUAACAACUCUCGUCUCCUUCUGGACUCUACUAGUGCAAGCAGCAGCUCAGAUUCCUGAUUUAUCACUUGCCCACAGAGCUUGUCUGUCUGUCUGUGUCUCUCUGUCUCUCUUUCUCACACACACACACACACACACACACACACACACACACACACACACACACACAACUUCUUCUUACCCUGACAUAAGGCACUGCAGAUGUAAACACAAGCUGGCUGAAGCUGUUAAUGAAAUAUGCAUGUGUAUUUAGUGAAAGAAGUUCUCUACUACUGAAAUAGAAACCACCAAAUGGGAAACGUGGAUCACAGGCAUGGGCAGUUUGAGUUGUCUACUGGGAUUCCUGCACUGCUUUGCACAUAACACAAAUAUGGGGACAUGACUAAAACAUAAUACCCAAAAAAUUUUGAUAGUUUUUUUUUUAUUUAACAAGAUAUCUUUGACAUUUAAAAUUUACUGGAGUAAGGGAUAACCAACUUCAAGCAUCACAGUUACUAACCAUAAAGAACUUUGUUUAAGCAUGUUAUCUUUAGGAAGAAAAAUAAAUCUUAAAAAAAAAAAAUGAGGGGGGAAACCCUGCUGGGUCUGUGAUAUAUUCCAAGUCCUUAUAAUCCCAUGUAGAAGCUGAUGAAACUCAAUUUCAAACAGGGGCAAGGUUUACCUCAUGGCCAUGUGCAGCUGCAACCUCUGAUAAAUCUGUUAAAACACAAAACAGAUAAACAUUUAAAAACAUUUUUUUAUAUGUGAGUAUCUGUAUGUUUGUUUGAGAUAGGGUCUCACUAUGUAGCCCUGGGGGGCCUAUAACUCGGCCAGGCUAGCCUUGAACUCCACGCUCAACAUAGAAAAGUAUCUUUAACACUGAGACCACUGUCACACGACCCUGAUACUAAGCAGAUAAACCAAACUCCAUCAACAUCCGCUCUUCUCCCGCUUUACCUGCCCCACCGCGUUAACUCUUGACUGAGUGAGCGCACGGGUGUUGGCUCCACACCCUAGCAAAGGGGAGAGAGUCUGUAAAGCCUUCACAGGACGUGGGUGGAAACUGCAAGCAUUUAAAAGCCACACUACCCAGAACAUAACAAGUAGCAGAGAGAAGGAACAAGUAGUUAGGAACAUGGGCUAUAAAACAGCAUUGGCUUCUGGUAAACUAAAUAGCUUUCAUUCACAGAAUUACUUUUUUUGUUUUGGACUUUGUUGGUGGUGGUGGCUAUUUGGUUUGGGUUUUUUGAGACAGUGUCUCACCAGGUAGCCCAAGAUGACCUUACACUUGUGGCAAGCCUCCUGCUUCAGCUUCUCAAAUGCUGAGAUUACAUGCAUGAGCCACUAUAAAUGGCAAAAAAUUGGUAUGUUUAAUGGCUGGCUCCUGGGGCUGGUAAGGGUACUUGUUACCAAACCUGAGGACCUGAGUUCAAUCCCCAAAUCCGACACCAUGGAAGGAGAGUUGUCUUUGAACUUCAUGUGUGCCACGGCACAUAAGCCCCCUCUUCACUCUUCAUCACACACACACACACACAUACACACACACACACAUAUCAGCUCCCUGCCUUUUCAAAUGAUGGUAAUCACUUGUGCACAUGAAAUAAAAUAUUUCUGAAGCG
rnacentral:lncRNA from 1 species